rnacentral:rRNA from 1 species
GAUGAACGCUGGCGGCGUGCCUAAUACAUGCAAGUCGAGCGAACAGACGAGGAGCUUGCUCCUCUGACGUUAGCGGCGGACGGGUGAGUAACACGUGGAUAACCUACCUAUAAGACUGGGAUAACUUCGGGAAACCGGAGCUAAUACCGGAUAAUAUAUUGAACCGCAUGGUUCAAUAGUGAAAGACGGUUUUGCUGUCACUUAUAGAUGGAUCCGCGCCGCAUUAGCUAGUUGGUAAGGUAACAGCUUACCAAGGCAACGAUGCGUAGCCGACCUGAGAGGGUGAUCGGCGACACUGGAACUGAGACACGGUCCAGACUCCUACGGGAGGCAGCAGUAGGGAAUCUUCCGCAAUGGGCGAAAGCCUGACGGAGCAACGCCGCGUGAGUGAUGAAGGUCUUCGGAUCGUAAAACUCUGUUAUUAGGGAAGAACAAAUGUGUAAGUAACUAUGCACGUCUUGACGGUACCUAAUCAGAAAGCCACGGCUAACUACGUG